rnacentral:rRNA from 1 species
GAUGAACGCUGGCGGCGUGCUUAACACAUGCAAGUCGAACGAUGAAGCCCAGCUUGCUGGGUGGAUUAGUGGCGAACGGGUGAGUAACACGUGAGUAACCUGCCCUUGACUCUGGGAUAAGCCUGGGAAACUGGGUCUAAUACUGGAUAUGACUUCUCAUCGCAUGGUGGGGGGUGGAAAGAUUUAUUGGUCUUGGAUGGACUCGCGGCCUAUCAGCUUGUUGGUGAGGUAAUGGCUCACCAAGGCGACGACGGGUAGCCGGCAGGGGAGGGUGACCGGCAACAGGGGGACGGGAACACGGCCAGGCCCACACCGGGGGGGGGGGGGGGGGAAUUGUACACAAGGGGCUCAGGCCAGGUGCGGCCACGCCGGGUGGGGGAGGGGGGCCUGGGGUUUGUAAACCUCUUACAGUGGGAAAGAAGGGGGAGUGACGGUACGUGAAGAAGAGGCGCCGGCUAACUACGUG